GGAGUCGGCCAGACAGUCGCCUCGCAUCUAGCCUUCUGUAUGCCGUGCCGAUGGGCAUCGUAUGUAGAAGGCUAGGUGCGGGGAGGAAAGUCCGGGCUCCAUAGGGCAGGGUGCCAGGUAACGCCUGGGGGGCGCGAGCCCACGGAAAGUGCCACAGAAAAUACACCGCCGAAGUUCGCGCAGGCGAGCUGGUAAGGGUGAAAUGGUGCGGUAAGAGCGCACCGCGCGAGUGGCAACAUUCGCGGCACGGCAAACCCCACCCGGAGCAAGGCCGAAUAGGGGAACAAUGGUGUGGCCCGCACCGUUCCCGGGUUGGUCGCUUGAAGCGCUCGGCGACGGGCGCUCUAGAUGAAUGACUGUCCUCGACAGAACCCGGCUUAUCGGCCGACUCCAUUU
rnacentral:RNase_P_RNA from 2 species